CUUGCAUAUCAGGACCCUCUGUGGCAUUUCCAGGUUUAACUGGAAAUCUGGGUUUUUUUCUCUUAAUUGCUUAAAAAUGCACAGGUCCACUGAUAAGUGAAUCAGAGCCACAGAACUGAGGACUGGGAGGAGAUCUUCAGGGCAAUCCUACCUGCAAGGACCAUGAGGCUCCAAAUCCAGGAGAGAAGCAUCUAAGGAGUCGUCCUGCGGCUGAGUGACAGGUGGUCAGAAUUACAGGGGUCAAGCAUCUAUCCUGCCUGGACCCCUCAUGGCCCAGUGUCCUGAUGAAUUAAUGUAAUCAGACCGCCAAGGAGUCUCCUGCUCUGAAGAGCUGGUGGAAUGAGUGCUCCUUCUGACUGAAAUGAAAACUGUCACUGUUGUCUUCUUCCCCACUGUAUGACGAAUGACUCCAACUCUGCGCUCUGAAACG
rnacentral:lncRNA from 1 species